rnacentral:tRNA from 1 species
AGGGUUGUGGCUCAGUGGAAGAGCACUUGCCUAGCAUGCGAGAGGCACUGAGUUUGAUUCUCCGCAUCGCAU